GAUGAACGCUAGCGGCAGGCUUAAUACAUGCAAGUCGUGGGGCAGCAUGAGUAGCAAUACUUGAUGGCGACCGGCAAACGGGUGCGGAACACGUACACAACCUUCCGAUAAGUGGGGAAUAGCCAAGAGAAAUUUGGAUUAAUACCCCGUAACAUAUAGAGUAGGCAUCUUCUUUAUAUUAUAGCUUCGGCGCUUAUUGAUGGGUGUGCGUCUGAUUAGGUAGUUGGCGGGGUAACGGCCCACCAAGCCUACGAUCAGUAGCUGAUGUGAGAGCAUGAUCAGCCACACGGGCACUGAGACACGGGCCCGACUCCUACGGGAGGCAGCAGUAAGGAAUAUUGGACAAUGGGCGAAAGCCUGAUCCAGCCAUGCCGCGUGAAGGAUUAAGGUCCUCUGGAUUGUAAACGUCUUUUAUUUGGGACGAGAAAAGGGAAUUCUUUCCCACUUGACGGUACCAAGUGAAUAAGCACCGGCUAACUCCGUGCCAGCCGCCGCCGUAA
rnacentral:rRNA from 1 species